UGAACGCUAGCGGCAGGCUUAACACAUGCAAGUCGAGGGGUAACAGGGAGUGCUUGCACUCCGCUGACGACCGGCGCACGGGUGCGUAACGCGUAUGCAACCUACCUUCUACAGGGGGAUAGCCCAGAGAAAUUUGGAAUAAUACCCCAUACGAUCAUUAAUUGGCAUCGAUUGAUGAAGAAAACUCCGGUGGUAGAAGAUGGGCAUGCGUCCUAUUAGUUAGUUGGUGAGGUAACGGCUCACCAAGACGUCGAUAGGUAGGGGUCCUGAGAGGGAGAUCCCCCACACUGGUACUGAGACACGGACCAGACUCCUACGGGAGGCAGCAGUGAGGAAUAUUGGACAAUGGAGGCAACUCUGAUCCAGCCAUGCCGCGUGCAGGAAGACGGCCCUAUGGGUUGUAAACUGCUUUUAUACAGGAAGAAUUGUACCUACGUGUAGGUAUUUGACGGUACUGUACGAAUAAGGAUCGG
rnacentral:rRNA from 1 species